UACGUAGGGUGCAAGCGUUAAUCGGAAUUACUGGGCGUAAAGCGUGCGCAGGCGGUUUUGUAAGUCUGUCGUGAAAGCCCCGGGCUCAACCUGGGAAUUGCGAUGGAGACUGCAAGGCUUGAAUCUGGCAGAGGGGGUAGAAUUCCACGUGUAGCAGUGAAAUGCGUAGAGAUGUGGAGGAACACCGAUGGCGAAGGCAGCCCCUGGGUCAAGAUUGACGCUCAUGCACGAAAGCGUGGGGAGCAAACAGG
rnacentral:rRNA from 1 species